rnacentral:pre_miRNA from 1 species
ACACAGUUUAGUGACUUACUCUGUGUACAAAGUUACCUAACACAGUUUCGUUAGGUAACUUGUACACAGAGUAAGUCUCUGAUGAAACUGC